rnacentral:rRNA from 1 species
AGCCUGAACGCUGGCGGCGUGGCUAAGACAUGCAAGUCGUACGGAGGUAGCAAUACCUCAGUGGCGAACGGGUGAGUAAUGAAUCGCUAACGUGCCCUGGACUUCGGGAUAGCUAUCCGAAAGGGUAGGUAAUACCGGGUGAUAUACCCUUUCCGCAUGGAAGGGGUCUCAAAGGUCCGCCGGUCUUCGGUGGAUGGUCUGGGAGCGGGCGAUUUCGUAUCAGCUAGUUGGUGGGGUAACGGCCCACCAAGGCGACGACGCGUAGCCGGACUGAGAGGUUGGCCGGCCACAUUGGGACUGAGACACUGCCCAGACUCCUACGGGGGCUGCAGUAACGAAUCUUCCGCAAUGCACGAAAGUGUGACGGAGCGACGCCGCGUGGAGGACGAAGUUCUUCGGAAUGUAAACUCCUGUCAGGGGAAAGAAAGUUCUGAUCUACCCCAGAGGAAGAGGCGGCUAACUCUGUGCCAGCAGCCGC